ACACGGCCCAGACUCCUACGGGAGGCAGCAGUGGGGAAUAUUGCACAAUGGGCGCAAGCCUGGAUGCAGCCAUGCCGCGUGUGUGGAAGAAGGCCUUCGGGUUGUAAAGCACUUUCAGUCAGGAGGAAAGCGUGGUGGUUAAUACCCAAUCAUGGUGUGACGUUACUGACCAGAAGAAGCACCGGCUAACUCCGUGCCAGCAGCCGCGGUAA
rnacentral:rRNA from 1 species